UUGGAGGGCAAGUCUGGUGCCAGCAGCCGCGGUAAUUCCAGCUCCAAUAGCGUAUAUUAAAGUUGUUGCAGUUAAAAAGCUCGUAAUUGAAUUUCGGGGUCAAUANGUUGGUCAUGCCAUUGGUAUGUACUGAUCUUAUUGAUUUCUCCCUUCUAAAGAACCGUAAUGCCAUUAAUUGGUGUCACCGGGAAUUAGGACUGUUACCUUGAAAAAAUUAGAGUGUUUAAAGCAGGCUCACGCUUGAAUACAUUAGCAUGGAAUAAUGAAAUAGGACGGCACGAUUCUAUUUUGUUGGUUUCUAGGAUCAAUGUAAUGAUUAAUAGGGAUAGUUGGGGGCAUUAGUAUUCAAUUGUCAGAGGUGAAAUUCUUGGAUUUAUUGAAGACUAACUACUGCGAAAGCAUUUGCCAAGGAUGUUUUCAUUAAUCAAGAACGAAAGUUAGGGGAUCGAAGACGAUCAGAUACCGUCGUAGUCUUAACCAUAAACUAUGCCGACUAGGGAUCGGAUGAUGUUAAUUUUUUAAUGACUCGUUCGGCGCCUUACGGGAAACCAAAC
rnacentral:rRNA from 1 species